rnacentral:rRNA from 14 species
CGGGGAAAGAAGACCCUGUUGAGCUUGACUCUAGUCUAGUAGUGUGAAACGUUUUUAGAGGCGUAGAAUAAGUGGGAGAGCGCUUUAUUGUGUUCAGCAAUGAAAUACCACUACUUUGACAAAUGUUUUACUUAUUGAAUGAGAAAGAGACUAUUUGGUUUUAGAGAAAGCAGCAAUGUGAUCUUUAUUCAAAAUAUUAUUAGAUAGGGAGUUUGGCUGGGGCGGCACAUUUACUAAAUGAU